ACACGUAAGGGGCAAGCGUUGUUCGGAAUUAUUGGGCGUAAAGGGCGUGUAGGCGGUUCUGCAAGCCUGGUGUUAAAUACCACAGCUUAACUGUGGGAAAGCGCUGGGAACUGCGGGACUAGAGUUUAGGAGGGGAAGCUAGAAUUCCAGGUGUAGGGGUGAAAUCUGUAGAUAUCUGGAAGAAUACCAGUGGCGAAGGCGAGCUUCUGGCCAUAGACUGACGCUGAUGCGCGAAAGCGUGGGGAGCGAACAGGAUUAGAUACCCUGGUAGUCCACGCUGUAAACGAUGUGCACUAGGUGUUGGGCAGGAUUGUUCAGUGCCGUAGCAAACGCGAUAAGUGCACCGCCUGGGGAGUAUGCUCGCAAGGGUGAA
rnacentral:rRNA from 1 species